GAUGAACGCUGGCGGCGUGCCUAAUACAUGCAAGUCGAGCGAACAGACGAGGAGCUUGCUCCUCUGACGUUAGCGGCGGACGGGUGAGUAACACGUGGAUAACCUACCUAUAAGACUGGGAUAACUUCGGGAAACCGGAUCUAAUACCGGAUAAUAUAUUGAACCGCAUGGUUCAAUAGUGAAAGACGGUUUUGCUGUCACUUAUAGAUGGAUCCGCGCCGCAUUAGCUAGUUGGUAAGGUAACGGCUUACCAAGGCGACGAUGCGUAGCCGACCUGAGAGGGUGAUCGGCCACACUGGAACUGAGCAACGGUCGAGACUCCUACGGGAGGCAGCCGUAGGGAAUCUUCCGAAAUGGGCGAAAGCCUGACGGAGCAACGCCGCGUGAGUGAUGAAGGUCUUCGGAUCGUAAAACUCUGUUAUUAGGGAAGAACAAAUGUGUAAGUAACUAUGCACGUCUUGACGGUACCUAAUCAGAAAGCCACGGCUAACUACGUG
rnacentral:rRNA from 1 species